GCUGCACGGCUGUCGUCAGCUCGUGUCGUGAGAUGUUGGGUUAAGUCCCGCAACGAGCGCAACCCUCGUCACUAGUUACUAACGAUUCGGUCGAGGACUCUAGUGAGACUGCCUUCGUAAGGAGGAGGAAGGUGAGGACGACGUCAAGUCAUCAUGGCCCUUACGGCUAGGGCUACACACGUGCUACAAUGGUUAGGACAGUGAGAAGCGAUACCGCGAGAUGGAGCAAAUCUAUAAACCUAAUCUCAGUUCGGAUUGUUCUCUGCAACUCGAGAACAUGAAGCUGGAAUCACUAGUAAUCGUAGAUCAGCAAUGCUACGGUGAAUACGUUCCCGGGUCUUGUACUCACCGCCCGUCACACCAUGGGAGUUGAUUUCACCCGAAGCGGGGAAGCUAAACUGGCUACCCUCCACGGUGGAAUUAGCGACUGGGGUGAAGUCGUAACAAGGUA
rnacentral:rRNA from 1 species